rnacentral:lncRNA from 1 species
UUUCUUUUUCUCUUCCUCUCUCAAUCUCUCUCCCUCAUUCUCUCACACUAUAUUUCCCUCUCCGUCUCUUUCUCUCUUCCUCAUUCUCUCUCGUUCUCUCUCUCUAUCUCUCCCUCUCUCUUUCUCUCUCUCUCUUUCUCUCUCUCUCUUUCCCCCUCCCUCCCUCCCUUUAUUUCUCUUUCUCUUUCCCUCCCUCUCUCCCUCUCUCCCUCUCUCU